rnacentral:lncRNA from 1 species
CUCCCCAUGGAGAUACACUGGGUCUAAUGAAACCCUUGUCAACUAAAUCCUGCAACUGAACUUUCAAUUCCUUCAGCUCUGCUGGAGCCAUUCUGUAAGGUGAUUGUGAAAUAGGGGUAGUCCCUGGAAUCAAAUCAAUAGUAAACUCGAUUUUCCUAUCAGGAGGUAACCUGAAAGAUCUUCAGGAAAAACAUCAGGGAAAUCUUUU